rnacentral:rRNA from 1 species
UACAGAGGAGCCAAGCGUUGUCCGGAUUGACUGGGCGUAAAGCGCACGCAGGCGGUUGCGCGCGUGGGGUGUGAAAUCUGGCCGCUUAACGGCCAGGCGCCAUCCCAUACGGCGCGACUGGAGUGAUGCAGAGGUCGAUGGAAUUGCCGGUGUAGUGGUGAAAUGCGUAAAGAUCGGCAGGAACACCCAGGGGGAAACCAGUCGACUGGGCAUCUACUGACGCUGAGGUGCGAGAGCGUGGGGAGCGAACCGG